rnacentral:rRNA from 1 species
AUGGUUUGUUUCCUGGGUUUCUUCGUGCCCGCCCCCUCCCUUGCGUCGUCCUCCAACGACACCGACUUCCUCCGCUGCAUCUCGACGAGCGUCCCCAGCCAGCUCGUGCAGACGCCGAACUCACCGUCGUUCAGGCAGCUCCUGGUGUCGUCCAUCAGGAACGCCAGGUUCGUGGCGCCGGCCACGGCGAGCCCCCCGCUCUGCAUCGUGACGCCCACCAACGCGUCCCACGUCCAGGCCGCCGUGCGCUGCGGGCGCCGUCACGGCGUGCGCGUCCGCGUCCGCAGCGGCGGGCACGACUACGAGGGCCUCUCCUACCGGUCGGUCCACCCCAACAGCGAGGCGUUCGCGGGGGAUCUCUACUACCACGUCGCCACGGCGGAUCCGAGGCUGGGCUUCCCGGCUGGCGUGUGCUCGACCGUGGGCUUGGGGGGCCUCUUCAGCGGCGGCGGCAUGGGCCUAAUGAUGCGCAAGUACGGCCUCUCCGCCGACAACGUUCUCGACGCCGCCAUGGUCGACGCCUACGGGAAUCUGCUGGCCGACAAGAAGGCCAUGGGGGACGACCUCUUCUGGGCCAUCCGGCAUCGUGCUGUCAUGGAAGGUGAGGCUCGUGCCAGUCCCACCGACGGUGACCUUCUUCAAACUCGCCAAGACCAUGGACCAGGGCGCCGUCAACGCGGUGACCAAAUGGCAAACGCUCGCGCCCGCGCUCCCGGACGACCUCACCAUACGUGUUAUCGUAGAAAAUCGUAG